AGUGCAAUUGCUGGGUUAUAUGGUAACUGUAUCUUUGACAUUUUGAAGAACUGCCAAACUGCUUUCCAAAGUGACUGCACCAUUUUACAUUCCCAUGAGCAAU
rnacentral:pre_miRNA from 1 species